CGUGAGCGGCGGACGGGUGAGUAACGCGUGGGUAACCUGCCUCAUACAGGGGAUAACAGUUGGAAACGGCUGCUAAUACCGCAUAAGCGCACAGUACCGCAUGGUACGGUGUGAAAAACUCCGGUGGUAUGAGAUGGACCCGCGUCUGAUUAGGUAGUUGGUGGGUAACGGCCUACCAAGCCGACGAUCAGUAGCCGACCUGAGAGGGUGACCGGCCACAUUGGGACUGAGACACGGCCCAA
rnacentral:rRNA from 1 species